AGUAGAAUGACUUUAUUGUGGACUUCAAGAUCUAUGACUUUGAGACAAGUGGUAUGCCAAAAAAGCGCAUCAAAAUACCAGUUGGAGCAUUGUGCCCCUUGGUAUUCAUAACCUGACCUGCGCUGGGGGAGUCUGAGAGGUGAAAAUUGAACAGCUGGCGGCCAGGGUGAGAAUGGAGCCACAUUCAUCAGCAAUAUUAUUGAUUGAAAUUGAUCACCCUCUGGCAUCAAAAUGGUUGCACCUUGGUAGACCAAGACCAGAAGUAAGUGUGCAUAAUUACCAUUGACUGUGUAAAACAUACACCAUAUCCCUUCCCUACAACAUGAAAAUAUAUAUUGGCUAUAUAUAUUGGAAUAUAAUAUGACCUAUACUGUAUAUAUAAUAUAUAAUAGGCUAUAUAUGUCCGAGUGACUGAGCAGAGGUGCAGCAUCUUGCAUUACUGUCUGUAGGUGUGUGAAUUCACCUCACAUACUCGUUUCUGCAAAUGGGCCUUUUAUUCAUUUUUUGUUUAAGCAGAGUUGUAUAAGGGUGGUUAAGAAACUAUAUCAACCAGGAACAGGAAUACGUUUAAUAAUGAUUCAUUUGGACACCAAUAACCAAUAACACGCUAACUUUUUGAAUUGCAACUAUACUUUUGGGAAACAUACCCCUGUGUGGACCUUUUUAUGAUAAAGGUAAAGGUCAGGUAUUUAGCAAAGGCUUUUGUCCAAAGUGACUUACAAAGGCAUCCUAUAGGAGCCGGGAAUUGAUGGGCCAACGGGCGGCGACGAUAGCCACUGUACCCCCUAACACCCCCUUAUGCAGACCAAAUUAUGAGAGCACUUGUGCAAGAAGUCCUCCCAAUACUUCUGGCUACCACUAAUUUGAGUAUAGUAAGCUGCAAAAACGAUCAUAAGAACGUCAGAUAAAAAUCUCACUGAGAGUGGGGUACUAUUGUGACAACAAAGAGAAAUGAGACAGAUCUUGUCAAAAACAAAUGUAUUAGCCAUGCUUUAUUGUAUCCUUCUCUUUGGAUGUAUCCAUAAACAAAUAAAUACAUAAAUAAAUAGAAUCAUCAGUAUUUCAACAAACAGCGUGUGUCAGUUAAGUCCAUUCCGACCUUC